CGACAGAUGCUGACCCGCAGAAGUGUGAAUCUUGCCGAUUUCUCCCUGCUGUCAACCUGUAAAUUACAGCUAUCGGGAGUAAUUAGACCCGAUAAAACCCUUCCAAGCCUCACCCCCCUUGACACACAUGCAGACACACACACAGAUCUGGCCUGUCAGUGACCUGAGCAUGCGCCAGUUUCUAAAAGAAGGUUUAAGGCCCAAAAUUGUCCUGUUCAAACCAGGUGUUUAAUGUGUUUCUCUUCACAGAAAAAUAUUCUGCUCUUUCAUCCCGUAAAAUAUCGCUCAUCUUUGCUGGUUUAAGCAUUUCAUCUCUCUUUUAGGUCAAAGUCUGACAUCCAAACACUUCAUGACUUUGAGGACUCUGAGAUCGAUGCUGGCAGCUCCUCUAAAGUUGCAGAGGUGAGUCGGUCCACAGUAAACUAUCUUGGAUGAAUCUGCAGACGCUGCCAGUCGUCCUCUACUUAUCCUCACUGAGGUUUUGCAGUGACAGCGGAGAGCUGUCGCUGUGACCAGAGAUGUCAGCAUCUGGGGCCACCUCUUCAUGCCCUGGCAUCCGUGUUCGGCCUACAACCACCACAGUGAUGGCCACUGCCAAGCAUGCUCUUAAAAGCAAGGCCCGUGCCCCUUUAAGUAACUUACGCGAAACCAAAGGUCACGCAGCCAGGUCUUGUCAUCCUCUCCCUGACUCUCUGCCCUCCGCCUCCACCUCCUUCCCCAGCCCUCAGUGCCCACUUCCUGGCCAUUGGAGCCAAUCACUUUCCACCCCUUGCCUCCUUCGCCGCCAAUGCCGAGCGGCAAUCUGUCACCCGGGCACUAGGAGAUGCCACCCUGCCGGCCGCCUUCCGUACACUGUGGUAAUGGCUUCUGGCAGCCCUAGACAGAUAAGUAACAGGCAAAAAGGCAGGAGAGCGGGUCGAGUAGAGAGGGAGGGCUGAGGGCCAGAGAGCAGAGGACCCUCUCUCACAUCCAAGCUGCCCCCUUCUCGCCGCUGCUCGACCCUCCUCUACCCCUUUUGCCUCACCCCGCUUUGGCCUGGUCGCUUUGCACGAUACUUCAGUGAAUAAAUGAGUCGUUUUAAUCCGACUGACAAGCUGGCAUUGCCCAGCCCUGCCCUCCAUCUGUACUGGCGGCCAGCGCAGCAGCAGGCCCCAGGCAGCCCGAUGUGCCAAUCCAACACACAGCUUAUCCUGGCUGUAGCUUCAGGGACAGAAGGGUUAGAGCUCUAUGCGGCAGCUACCCUCUCCACCAAAAGAGCUAUUUAUAUAAGAAAGGGAUUAGCCGGUGGAGGCUUUGAUGAAGCGGAAAAAAAUUAUGAUUUUGCUUCCAUCUUGCUCCAGUGCACUUUUGAGAUGCACGUAUAUUCAAACAGGAAGUUCACUUUACUUUUGCUUUUCCAAACCUUCAAAUGAUCAUGGGGGGUGUCAUUUUUCACUCCAAUUCAAAGCUAGGGUUCAUUUUUAAGAGAUGAGAUUUUUUUAUGAGAUGGCGUUUGCUCCAUGGUUGCUCUGCCACUGCAACAGAUGAAUGUGUUCACUCUGCCAUAAACACAAAAGUGAAAGUGAAACUAGCCUCUUUCCAUCUGUCCCCACCACCGAGGGGUUAAUUUUGCUCUGUCAUCUUUGGAACAGCGAGAAGCCAAGUGCACUAUCACUCACACAGUCCGCCGUCCUGACCGAAUAAACCCAGAGGGAGAGAAAAAACUUGGCCGCAGGAGGUGCUAAACCCUCUGCUCCAUUUCCUCUCUCCACAAGCCUUCUCUCCGCUCCCUCUCUUGGCCAUGUGUCACCUCCAAGUCGUUUGGGAAGGGACCUGGUAACAUUUGAGUGCCCAAUUAAGCGCAGGGGCUCAGUCCGGGCCCCCCUCUGGGUUCCGUUCAGGCACGUCACUGAUGAGCGGGCUGCCAUCUUCCCUGUGAACCACACACACACUCACACAUAUGCACGAUUCUCCCACCCGCUUAUUCCUUUUCAUGCCUACUUCCCCCGUCUGUUGUGCCUCUUUUUCGCACAAACACUUUCUCCUCUCUGCUUAAAGAUCCCCUGCAGAUCUGAUUGCAGCUUACCUUUGGAACAGGAGGUUAUAACUGUUUGAUCCAUGGCCGCCAGACCCUUUGCCAGUCAUACACCCGGGCCUGGAUGCUGCUUAUUAACGGGAGGGGUCCUCCCACUGUGCUGCUGAGAAUCCGAGGGAUGGGUGUUUUGCUGCUUUGGUGAAAGAUUAAGCACUGUUUUCUUAAAUUAGCCUGGAAAACAUGAAGCAUAAACAUAAAAGGAAAUAUUCCUUAUCUGCAAGGUCAACUAUGCGCUCAUUAUCACCCAGAUUGAAUAAUUACUGAACUUAAGAAGUGCGAAAAAAAAAUAAAACAACUCUGAGUUAGCGCAGUGGAGCCUUUUGAAGUGUUAAAGGAGUGCUUAUUCCCUUAACUGGAGUGAAAGAGCAAUGCUGGAUAAUUUAGGUUACGGGCUCGGCAGUGACAGCUGGGCAGCAUUGAACGCCAACCAAAUCGACAUAAAUCACUGACUUUUUUUUCAAUAAGUAGGUUAAUAUCUCAGAAUUGUGUUUAAUGUUUUAUGCAGCAGAAAGGCAGGGACAGUGUUAAGGGACGGCAAGUGAUUCUGAAUGCAGCCGGGAGGUGGAGGGCUGGGCAGGGUUUGGCAUCUCCCGACAGUCUCUUCCGAGCACGCCGGCCCUUUAAAGGAGCGCGGAAACAAUCGACGCCCCUCUCGAGUCCUCUUCAUAUUAAACAAGUGCUUUGUAAGUGUGCCAUCAUUACUAUUCAUCACCAAUAAAUACUUAAGCACUGAGAGCUUAGUACCCCGCUGCUUUACAGUUAUUCAUUAUUUCUGUCACCUGCUUGUCCUUUUUCUGUCUCCUCCCCUCGCCGCAGCUCAUGACUGAAUGUUCCGGUGCCCUUCAACUCAGUAGUGUGCUGGGAGUGAGCUGGUGGCUAGUGCCUGUGUGCCAAGCCUCCUGCUUUGUGUCCCAUAUUCUCUGCCCUCACCUGAGGCCUUGUAACAACAGGACAGCAGGGCCAGAGGCUUUACCGUGCUCUGUGAACUUCUCAAGAUGAUGCCCUUCUACAGUUUUCAAAAUGUCCCAUGUCCACAACCUUCUUUCUUCUUUUUAUUACAUGAACACAACUGCACAAUCACCCCCAAGUUCAAACACACUAAGUACUCUCCUGCCCCAGACACUGGGGCAGAAGUCCACUGCACCCGUCCUCUACGGCUAGUUUUUGGAAGGUGAUUCGAUCCUUUUUCCUCUGCCACAGUGCUUGGCGGGCUGGCUGGCUCCAAUGCAACGCGGCGUGCGCUGGCGUUGGACUGAGGCCGGGCCAGUGUGCUCGGGAGCUGAUGAAUUGUGAGCGAGAUGCGGGGCGGCAGCCAGCGAGGAGCUCCGAUGAGCGGCCGUCACGCACUAUCACCGUCUGCUGGUGUGAUGAGGGAAAUCGGAGAGACAGCGCUGACAACUUAAUUUAACACCAGAUCUGGAGGAAGCCAGAGUGCUACAGCGCUCUGGAUAAUUGAUAACUCUGCCACUCCACCACACCUUGCCUCACCUCGUGCCCACCACGCCUCAGCUCUGCAUCAACCUGAACCAGUGGUGGACGCUUUACUGUACAGGUCUUAAGGCUUGUCAGGUUGUUUUGCUCUGGUUAAAUGGCUUUUAACUCCAAGUGUGAAACUGAAAACUAAAUCUCAAGUGGGGUGUUAAUUUGUUUUCUGUCUCUGAUACAACUUUAAAAUGGUUCAUCUAUUUUUGAUGCUGGGACAAUACUAGUGCAUUUCAGUACAAAAAUGUGUGUAAAUUCUUUUAUACACAACCUCUUUUCUUUAAACAAAAACAUAGACAAAUCUAACCCAUCUAAAAUUGUGCAAAUAAUGAUUUAAACCACGGUAAAGGUGAUCAAAAUUAAGUAUGUGAUAAUUUUGUUGUUAGAGUAAAUAGGUUAAGUCCUGAAAAGGUAAAGAGGAGAUAAAGAGGUCCCAACUUUCUCUCCUUUUAUAAGCUUCUUAUUGCAUCCAGAAGAAUGACACAGAGCGGCUGCAAUGCUGAAAUUUCUCCUUGGGCCUCGAUGCUGCAGCACGGCGCUGCAGGGGGACAGCGCUGCCUGGAUCUCCUUCACAGGCUGCUGGAGGCUGCAGAGCACAAGCCCGGUUGACUGGUAAUGCCUAUUAAUUACUAAUACAAACUGCUAAUUAGUAGACCAAACACUGGCAUCUGUACAGUUUGUUUUCCCUGCAGCGAUGAUAUUGAGAUCUAACACAAAGAGGCAGUGAAACCUGAGCGACAUGAUGCACACCAGAAUCAAAGGGGACUCGCUGAUGAGCAUGCUUUAAGCCAGGAUCAGGAACCAGAAAGGUCGAGCCAAAUUUCAGAGCCAUGUGACUUGACCGUUACUUUUGUACAGCUUUGGUAUUCAGGUUUUAUUUUGCAGAUCCAAGUUUGACAAACAAAUGGAAACAGUUGGAAUAAAUGUAUUUUAAAAUAUUGCAACCUUCCUUAAUUUUAAAUUCCGUAUGCAAAUGUCAAAUUUCAGUGUCCAAAAAAGAGCGUCCAAACACUCCUUCACUUGCUGGUAAAUAUUCGCUCGACUUGGUUCUUUUUGCUGGUUUGCUUGUAAAUUAAAGCCAAAACAUUAUCAUAUCCCGUGCAGUAUGUAGAAAUGUAACAUCUGCUCAUCUAAGCAGUCUGGCGUCCAACUCAUGCAAGCACUAUAUGCUAGCUCUGCUAAUGUAUGGGCUAAAACCAAUAAAUCACAAGAUUUUUUUAUGUUCAUGACAAAGACUCAAUUUCAUAAUAAAACAAACAAGACCAUCAGAGACAAGACCAAGACUGUUUUUAUACAAAAAAAUUAAUGUGUAAAACCACUGUGAGAAGGUUGCAGCUGUGGAAACCGCAUUGUUUAUUUUUUUUCAACAAUUUCCCCAGGUUAAUGACAAUAAAUUAUGUUUUUGACUUGUCAAGUGUCAGAAUGCAUUUCCUUCCUUUUUUUUUUUUUUUGGACAAAAUAAGC